rnacentral:rRNA from 1 species
GACAGAGGGUGCAAACGUUGUUCGGAAUUACUGGGCGUAAAGCGCGUGUAGGCGGUCAUGCAAGUCGGAUGUGAAAUCCCUUGGCUCAACUGAGGAAGUGCACCCGAUACUGCGUGACUAGAGUCCUGGAGAGGAAGGUGGAAUGCUCGGUGUAGAGGUGAAAUUCGUAGAUAUCGAGCGGAACACCGGUGGCGAAGGCGGCCUUCUGGACAGUGACUGACGCUGAGACGCGAAAGCGUGGGGAG